rnacentral:rRNA from 1 species
UGUACUGUGAAACUGCGAAUGGCUCAUUAAAUCAGUUAUCGUUUAUUUGAUAGUACCUUACUACAUGGAUACCUGUGGUAAUUCUAGAGCUAAUACAUGCUAAAAACCCCGACUUCAGGAAGGGGUGUAUUUAUUAGAUAAAAAACCAACGCCCUUCGGGGCUCCUUGGUGAAUCAUAAUAACUUAACGAAUCGCAUGGCCUUGCGCCGGCGAUGGUUCAUUCAAAUUUCUGCCCUAUCAACUUUCGAUGGUAGGAUAGUGGCCUACCAUGGUGGCAACGGGUAACGGGGAAUUAGGGUUCGAUUCCGGAGAGGGAGCCUGAGAAACGGCUACCACAUCCAAGGAAGGCAGCAGGCGCGCAAAUUACCCAAUCCCGAUACGGGGAGGUAGUGACAAUAAAUACUGAUACGGGGCUCUUUUGGGUCUCGUAAUUGGAAUGAGAACAAUUUAAAUCCCUUAACGAGGAACAAUUGGAGGGCAAGUCUGGUGCCAGCAGCCGCGGUAAUUCCAGCUCCAAUAGCGUAUAUUAAAGUUGUUGCAGUUAAAAAGCUCGUAGUUGAACCUUGGGCCUGGCUGGCCGGUCCGCCUCACCGCGAGUACUGGUCCGGCUGGGCCUUUCCUUCUGGGGAACCUCAUGGCCUUCACUGGCUGUGGGGGGAACCAGGACUUUUACUGUGAAAAAAUUAGAGUGUUCAAAGCAGGCCUUUGCUCGAAUACAUUAGCAUGGAAUAAUAGAAUAGGACGUGUGGUUCUAUUUUGUUGGUUUCUAGGACCGCCGUAAUGAUUAAUAGGGAUAGUCGGGGGCGUCAGUAUUCAGCUGUCAGAGGUGAAAUUCUUGGAUUUGCUGAAGACUAACUACUGCGAAAGCAUUCGCCAAGGAUGUUUUCAUUAAUCAGGGAACGAAAGUUAGGGGAUCGAAGACGAUCAGAUACCGUCGUAGUCUUAACCAUAAACUAUGCCGACUAGGGAUCGGACGGGAUUCUAUAAUGACCCGUUCGGCACCUUACGAGAAAUCAAAG